GUAGGUGGCAAGCGUUGUCCGGAAUUAUUGGGCGUAAAGCGCGCGCAGGCGGUCCUUUAAGUCUGAUGUGAAAGCCCACGGCUCAACCGUGGAGGGUCAUUGGAAACUGGGGGACUUGAGUACAGAAGAGGAAAGCGGAAUUCCAAGUGUAGCGGUGAAAUGCGUAGAGAUUUGGAGGAACACCAGUGGCGAAGGCGGCUUUCUGGUCUGUAACUGACGCUGAGGCGCGAAAGCGUGGGGAGCAAACAGGGAUUAGAUACCCGUGGUAGUCCACGCCGUAAACGAUGAGUGCUAAGUGUUAGGGGGUUUCCCGCCCCUUAGUGCUGCAGCUAACGCAUUAAGCACUCCGCCUGGGGGAUACGGCCGCAAGGCUG
rnacentral:rRNA from 1 species